AACCAUAGAAACCUGCGGAGUACCUGCGAGGGAUCAUUAGAGAGAACCAAGCUCACUUGUGAGCGACUCUCCACCCCAUGUUUACAUGACUAUGUUGCUUUGGCGGACCGUAGGGCGUGAGUCCUCCACCGGCGUCUGUUGGUGCGUGUCCGUCAGAGGAAAUUUACACUCUGUUUAUCAGUGUUGUCUGAGUAAUACAUAAUCAUAUAAAACUUUCAACAAUGGAUCUCAGAUCGGAAG
rnacentral:misc_RNA from 1 species